AUUGAACGCUGGCGGCAGGCUUAACACAUGCAAGUCGAGCGGAGAGAGGUAGCUUGCUACCGAUCUUAGCGGCGGACGGGUGAGUAAUGCUUAGGAAUCUGCCUAUUAGUGGGGGACAACAUUUCGAAAGGAAUGCUAAUACCGCAUACGUCCUACGGGAGAAAGCAGGGGAUCUUCGGACCUUGCGCUAAUAGAUGAGCCUAAGUCGGAUUAGCUAGUUGGUGGGGUAAAGGCCUACCAAGGCGACGAUCUGUAGCGGGUCUGAGAGGAUGAUCCGCCACACUGGGGCUGAGACACGGCCCAGACUCCUACGGGAGGCAGCAGUGGGGAAUAUUGGACAAUGGGCGGAAGCCUGAUCCAGCCAUGCCGCGUGUGUGAAGAAGGCCUUAUGGUUGUAAAGCACUUUAAGCGAGGAGGAGGCUACUUUAGUUAAUACCUAGAGAUAGUGGACGUUACUCGCAGAAUAAGCACCGGCUAACUCUGUGCCAGCAGCCGCGGUAACAC
rnacentral:rRNA from 1 species